AGUGAACGCUGGCGGUAGGCCUAACACAUCCAAGUCGAACGGCAGCACAGUAAGAGCUUGCUCUUACGGGUGGCGAGUGGCGGACGGGUGAGGAAUACAUCGGAAUCUACUUUUUCGUGGGGGAUAACGUAGGGAAACUUACGCUAAUACCGCAUACGACCUACGGGUGAAAGCAGGGGAUCUUCGGACCUUGCGCGAUUGAAUGAGCCGAUGUCGGAUUAGCUAGUUGGCGGGGUAAAGGCCCACCAAGGCGACGAUCCGUAGCUGGUCUGAGAGGAUGAUCAGCCACACUGGAACUGGGACACGGUCCAGACUCCUACGGGAGGCAGCAGUGGGGAAUAUUGGACAAUGGGCGCAAGCCUGAUCCAGCCAUACCGCGUGGGUGAAGAAGGCCUUCGGGUUGUAAAGCCCUUUUGUUGGGAAAGAAAAGCAGCAGGUUAAUACCCCGCUGUUCUGACGGUACCCAAAGAAUAAGCACCGGCUAACUUCGUG
rnacentral:rRNA from 1 species